UCGGGAAUUUUGGGCAAUGGGCGAAAGCCUGACCCAGCAACGCCGCGUGAAGGAUGAAGUAUUUCGGUAUGUAAACUUCGUAAGAAUAGGAAGAAUAAAUGACGGUACUAUUUGUAAGGUCCGGCUAACUACGUGCCAGCAGCCGCGGUAAUACGUAGGGACCAAGCGUUGUUCGGAUUUACUGGGCGUAAAGGGCGCGUAGGCGGUGUGUCAAGUCAGUUGUGAAAUCUCCGAGCUUAACUCGGAACGGUCAACUGAUACUGUCACACUAGAGUACAGAAGGGGCAAUCUGAAUUCUUGGUGUAGCGGUGAAAUGCGUAGAUAUCAAGAGGAACACCGUGAGGCGAAGGCGGGUUGCUGGGCUGAUACUGACGCUGAGGCGCGAAAGCUAGGGUAGCAAACGGGGAUUAGAU
rnacentral:rRNA from 1 species